GCGGGGGUGCCCGAGCCAGGCCAAAGGGGGCGGACUCAAGUAGCCCAGGGGAGAUCCGCUGGUGUAGGCCUGCGUGGGUUCAAAUCCCACCCCCCGCA
rnacentral:tRNA from 1 species